rnacentral:lncRNA from 1 species
AUCUUCUGGUAUCCUGAAGUCUGGAUUACUUUUUUUCCUGUGGUGGAUGUGUUCUCAAGGUCAGAUAAGUUAGCCUAAGAGGGGGAAGAAAGGUAAUCCUGUUUCCCUGAGAAUAGGGAAGGGGAGAGAUUAGGGAGGAGCAAGGAGAGAGAAAGAGAAAAAAAAAUUACUCACUUAAAAAAUAAGUUGCAAUGUCAGAGCUGCAAGGACUAUAUUCAAAGCAUAAAGCAGACUAUGUCAAAUUCUACAUUUCAUUUCUAUGGAUAAAUAGGUGAUGACAUCUCCAAGCUGCUUUCUGCUGAAAGAGGGAGGUGGUGGGAAAAGUAGCAUAAAGUCCUUGUUUUCUAUAGUGAGGAGGUGGUGCAUGGAAAGUUAAGGGUAUUCAGCAUCAGAGCAGUCCAGAGGUCCACAGUGGCAGAUGGCAGGUGACAGGCAUAUAUAGAGCAGAGAUCAUGCUAAAACAACAAUAAACAAGACAGCAAAGCAUUACUUUUUUUGUAAACAAUCAGCACAAAAGCAAUUAGUGUUUAAGCCAGUUUCUGAACAUUAUGAACAUAGUAACUCGUAUCCAUAUAAGUGAAAAACAGAUUGAGUUUAUCAAUAUAAGAAGUCUGGAGGAUCUGUAAGUCCACAAGAUGAGGUUCAAAUUAACUCAGGACAAACUUGCAAGUGAGUACUUUGUGAUUAUUAUUAUUAGUCACUGCCACAAAAUAACCCUUCCUUUAUAGCCUCAAACUUUACUUACUUUUGGUAGGACUGACACAAGUGUAUACCUUAGGUUUCAUUUAAAAAUACAACAUUGUUUUUCAUUUUAAAUGCCCAUGUAGGACUGUGCUUAGGCUAUAAUGUGUUCAAGACCAAGUUGGUCAAAACCGACCUUGUUCCUAUCUACUCUUAAGACUCAUCUGAAAUUCCUCAGAAAUCACUCUUGAGUAUGUGUGCAAAACCUUUUUAGCUUUCCUCUACUAGUGAUGUCACCCACCAGGAAGGGUCAGAGUUCUGAUAAUCAGUGGAGCAAACUGUACCAUUCAGAGAGAAAAAGCAGGAGUUCUCUGAAGCAAAAAAAAAAAAAAAAUUUCAGCACCUGCUGGGAUGGUCCUUCAGUUUCUCCCUUUACUCACAGGAAUAAGUCCUCCAGUUUGACCUGAGGAAAAUUCACCCAUCUCCUAACUCUCUUGCCUCUGGCUCUCAACAAGUUUGCCAGCCAUCGUGCAUCCUCAGAAUGGAAGUGGGGUUCCUUAGAGAGCCAGACCUGUACAAGAAAGUUGGAAUGGGGACUGCUCUCUGGUUCCACCUGGGGUGCCAAUUUAUUGCUGAAAGCUCCAAAGUUGUCCCAGAUGCUAAUCCAAUAAUGAGGACACAGUUUUGAGAAAAAGAAAUCUUUAUUGUUUUGUUAGCAAAGGAGAAUCUGUCCCAGAGGCUGUGAAUCUCUGAUUUCAGUUAUUUUGAUAAAUAUCUAGAAGUGGGAUAGAUGGAUC